rnacentral:rRNA from 1 species
UGGGGAAUAUUGGGCAAUGGGCGAAAGCCUGACCCAGCAACGCCGCGUGAAGGAAGAAGGUCUUCGGAUUGUAAACUUCUUUUAUGAGGGACGAAGGACGUGACGGUACCUCAUGAAUAAGCCACGGCUAACUACGUGCCAGCAGCCGCGGUAAUACGUAGGUGGCAAGCGUUAUCCGGAUUUACUGGGUGUAAAGGGCGCGUAGGCGGGGAUGCAAGUCAGAUGUGAAAUCUAUGGGCUUAACUCAUAAACUGCAUUUGAAACUGUAUCUCUUGAGUGCUGGAGAGGUAGACGGAAUUCCUUGUGUAGCGGUGAAAUGCGUAGAUAUAAGGAAGAACACCAGUGGCGAAGGCGGUCUACUGGACAGUAACUGACGCUGAGGCGCGGAAGCGUGGGGUAGCAAACAGGAUUAGAUACCC